rnacentral:rRNA from 1 species
GGGGAAUAUUGGGCAAUGGACGCAAGUCUGACCCAGCAACGCCGCGUGAAGGAAGAGGGCUUUCGGGUUGUAAACCUCUUUUAAGGGGGAAGUUUUGCUGACGGUACCCCCUGAAUACGCCACGGCUACCUACUUCCCAGCAGCCGCGGUAAUACGUAGGUGGCAAGCGUUGUCCGGAUUUACUGGGUGUAAAGGGCGUGUAGCCGGGAAGGUAAGUCAGAUGUGAAAUCUGGGGGCUCAACCUCCAAACUGCAUUUGAAACUACUUUUCUUGAGUAUCGGAGAGGUAAUCGGAAUUCCUUGUGUAGCGGUGAAAUGCGUAGAUAUAAGGAAGAACAACAGUGGCGAAGGCGGAUUACUGGACGACAACUGACGGUGAGGCGCGAGAGCGUGGGGAGCAAACA